AUAAAAAAUUAAAAUAUCAUGAGACGGGAAGUAUAGCAGAACGGGUUUGGAUUGAUAGGAAAUACAUCGAGACGGGUUUGGAUUGAUAUAACACAGGUAAAAU
rnacentral:sRNA from 1 species